AGUGAACGCUGGCGGUAGGCCUAACACAUGCGAGUCGAACGGCAGCACAGUAAGAGCUUCCUCUUACGGGUGGCGAGUGGCGGACGGGUGAGGAAUACAUCGGAAUCUACUUUUUCGUGGGGGAUAACGUAGGGAAACUUACGCUAAUACCGCAUACGACCUACGGGUGAAAGCAGGGGAUCUUCGGACCUUGCGCGAUUGAAUGAGCCGAUGUCGGAUUAGCUAGUUGGCGGGGUAAAGGCCCACCAAGGCGACGAUCCGUAGCUGGUCUGAGAGGAUGAUCAGCCACACUGGAACUGAGACACGGUCCAGACUCCUACGGGAGGCAGCAGUGGGGAAUAUUGGACAAUGGGCGCAAGCCUGAUCCAGCCAUACCGCGUGGGUGAAGAAGGCCUUCGGGUUGUAAAGCCCUUUUGUUGGGAAAGAAAAGCAGCAGGUUAAUACCCCGCUGUUCUGACGGUACCCAAAGAAUAAGCACCGGCUAACUUCGUG
rnacentral:rRNA from 1 species